AUUGAACGCUGGCGGCAUGCCUUACACAUGCAAGUCGAACGGGAUCUUCGGAUCUAGUGGCAGACGGGUGAGGAACACGUGGGAACAUCCCUUUCAGUUCGGAAUAACGUUGGGAAACUAACGCUAAUACCGGAUACGUCCUUCGGGAGAAAGAUUUAUCGCUGAAAGAUUGGCCCGCGUCUGAUUAGCUAGUUGGUGAGGUAAUGGCUCACCAAGGCUACGAUCAGUAGCUGAUCUGAGAGGAUGAUCAGCCACAUUGGGACUGAGACACGGCCCAAACUCCUACGGGAGGCAGCAGUGGGGAAUAUUGGACAAUGGGCGCAAGCCUGAUCCAGCCAUGCCGCGUGAGUGAUGACGGCCUUCGGGUUGUAAAGCUCUUUUGUCCGGGAAGAUAAUGACUGUACCGGAAGAAUAAGCCCCGGCAAACUUCGUGCCAGCCGCCGCCGUAA
rnacentral:rRNA from 1 species